ACGGGAGGCAGCAGUGGGGAAUAUUGCACAAUGGGGGAAACCCUGAUGCAGCGACGCUGCGUGAAGGAAGAAGUAUCUCGGUAUGUAAACUUCUAUCAGCAGGGAAGAAAAUGACGGUACCUGACUAAGAAGCCCCGGCUAACUACGUGCCAGCAGCCGCGGUAAUACGUAGGUGGCAAGCGUUAUCCGGAUUUACUGAGUGUAAAGGGCGCGUAGGCGGGAGAGCAAGUCAGAUGUGAAAUCCAUGGGCUUAACCCAUGAACUGCAUUUGAAACUGUUCUUCUUGAGUGCUGGAGAGGUAGACGGAAUUCCUUGUGUAGCGGUGAAAUGCGUAGAUAUAAGGAAGAACACCAGUGGCGAAGGCGGUCUACUGGACAGUAACUGACGCUGAGGCGCGAAAGCGUGGGGAGCAAACAGGAUUAGAUACCCUGGUA
rnacentral:rRNA from 1 species